AUAAAAACAAAGUAUCAGUGUUGGCUUUGACCUGCGAUAUGUUAAAAUGCUGCAUUCUGUUUAUCGCUCGCACCCAGCUAGUUAAUUUUAUUUUAGGUUGUUAUCGCCUUAAUUAAAAUAGAUUGGUGGUGUUUACAAUAACUAAUUAACGCUUUAACGCUUAAAUCAGAUAAUACCUAUUCCGGUAGCUCGGUAUAAGAACGAAAACGGUUUUACAAGGUACUCAUUACAUUUUUACUCCCUAUACAAGACAAGUGUUACCAAACAAGAUGAAGGUUGCUUUCGUUUUAGCUUUGCUCUGCGUGAGCUUGGUGAUUGGAACCGAAGGGGCUAAUUCAGAUUCACUACCAGAAAACCUGAGUUGCGCUGAAUCACACAACAUCUGUAGACCAGUACGCCAAUGUCCAAGAAACUUGAACAUUGGUAGAAAAGAAUGCCCGUAUGGAGAAGUUUGUUGUGUUUUAGUGUGACAUUUAAAUAAUUUUAAUCCUGUAAUAUUAUAUUUUCUAAAUAUAAAAUUUAUUUGACUAGUA
rnacentral:lncRNA from 1 species